UCCACUAAAUAAGAAAUAACUGCCAAUGUCAAACAUACAAAUCGGCUUUAGUUAUGUCCUCUUGACCAGCAAAGAAAGCAUUCCCCAGAUGAACAUUUUAGGAAUAUAAUUCAUGAUGCUUCAUAACGGCUGAUUAUAACAAAUUCAUAUAUCAAAAGAAUAUUAGAGAAUACCUUUCAAUCCAAAUCCGAUGAGUUGUGAAUUGGUUGAGCAAUUGAUAAAACGUUGUGCUUGAUUUGAUGCGCCUGAUAGCCUUUUCCGAGAUGGAUAUGUUUAUGGUUGGGGGAUAAAAUGAAAAAGCAGGACAAAACACGC
rnacentral:lncRNA from 1 species